AUUGAACGCUGGCGGCAUGCCUUACACAUGCAAGUCGAACGGCAGCAUGGAGAGCUUGCUCCCUGAUGGCGAGUGGCGAACGGGUGAGUAAUGCAUCGGAACGUACCGUGUAAUGGGGGAUAACGUAGCGAAAGUUACGCUAAUACCGCAUACGACCUGAGGGUGAAAGCAGGGGAUCGCAAGACCUUGCGUUAUACGAGCGGCCGAUGUCAGAUUAGCUAGUUGGUGAGGUAAAGGCUCACCAAGGCGACGAUCUGUAGGGGGUCUGAGAGGAUGAUCCUCCACACUGGGACUGAGACACGGCCCAGACUCCUACGGGAGGCAGCAGUGGGGAAUUUUGGACAAUGGGGGCAACCCUGAUCCAGCCAUGCCGCGUGAGUGAAGAAGGCCUUCGGGUUGUAAAGCUCUUUCGGCCGGGAAGAAAUCGCACAGGCUAAUACUCUGUGUGGAUGACGGUACCGGCAUAAGAAGCACCGGCUAACUACGUGCCAGCCGCCGCCGUAA
rnacentral:rRNA from 1 species